rnacentral:lncRNA from 1 species
UUCUCCUCUCACCACUCGACUUCAUAACCAAGGAGGUGUCUGCAAUGAACCAACUGAAUUGUAGACCAACAGAUGCCGUCAGGAUUUCCGUUAGAUUGACCGCGUCAACUCACAUGGGACAGGGAAGAUGAAACUGUGAAGUAUGAAGUUACCACGGGGGCUUUUAGGGAAGAAGGAGAGAGGCAGCUGCAUCGAGGAGGAGAUAAGGUUGGAAGACUGUUGAAGUCUUGUGGUCGUUGAAGUCUUCAGAAACCAUUAACCUGCAAACAAACCAUAAGAAUGAGAAGAAAGGGUCAGAUGUAUCAAAACAGGGCGAAUUUCCAACACGCUUUGUUGCCAAUGAAGUAGAUCGCCCGGGCUUUGCUAUCGUCAAUCACAAUCUCAGACAAGCAGGCUCAAUUGGCAUUCUUGUUUUUGCCCCUCAAUUCAUUGCUCACUCUAAUCAGCUAUCAGUUUGAAGAAAAUUCCGCUACUCAAGUAUGGUGAUUUCAAGAAUUACAGUGGACUUUUCAGUCAUCAGGACCUUUAGAUCAUACAGCUGAGCAAGAUAAACCACUAUCUCCAAUAUGAGGUUCCACAUAGCCGAUAUUGAUGUAUUUAUGUCAUAGUAAUUUAAAGCUGGAAAAAUUGCGUCGACAUGCUGCAACCAAACAACGGAAUUUCGUAAGGAGAGAGGAUAGAUUGUUUUCCAUGAAGUAGGAUUUUGGUCCUUCUCUUGCAAACCAGAUCUCUGCUGUAGACAAAGUAGAGUUCAACUGUUUAGGAUUUGGUAUCUUGUAAAAUUUCAUCUGAUUCAGCCAAACCAAAUUUCAUCAUCUGCUUCAAAAUUGCUUUUCAUUGUAACAUUGAGGGUGAUGAAAUUGUACAGAUUUUGAUGCUUGUUUAGGAUUUGGUAUAUGUUUGUAAUUUUAUUCGUGUUUGCUUUUCCUAAUCAGACUUUUCUUUGUUUGAACAGAAAUUAAAAUGCAAUAACCAUAAUUAUCCCAACGAGAAAAGAAAUGGUACUUACAGGUCACAGCUUUUAAUGAUGGUGAAUGAGUUUAUAUCCAUCUUUUCCUAGCAAGAGUGAUUUAUAUCCAGGGGAGCAAAGAGGGCAAGUGGAUGGGACAUGUUCAUGAUUAAUUGUUGUUCAAGACUAGCUUGCUUACAAGCACAAACCUUGUACAGAAUUUCCUUGAUCUUGUUGUGGAUCUAUUCCUUGCAUGUAAAUAGAAAUUUUGUGAGAGUUCCAUGUAGAAAUCUUGUUUAAAUUACCUUCAUUGUUUAGAACUUGUGUAUAAAUCACUUCCAUGCAUAGAUAUGUAUACACUCAAUGUAACAGUUUGACCAAGAGUUGAACUAGCACACUUGCAGAUAAUAUGUAAUUGCAUUUGGAGGUAAAGAACUUCAAUUCUAGUACAUGUUACGGAUAAACAUUGUAUAAAGAGGAAAUUGGCUGUUUU